rnacentral:rRNA from 1 species
UGGUUAAAAAGCUCGUAGUUGGAUCUCAACAGCCUUGGAAGCGGUUAACUUUGUAGUUUUACUGCUUUAUAGGCUGUGCUUUUGCUGGAGGUUUAGGGGUGCUCUUGAUCGAGUGUCUCUGGAUGCCAGCAGGUUUACUUUGAAAAAAUUAGAGUGCUCAAAGCAGGCUAAAAUGCCUGAAUAUUCGUGCAUGGAAUAAUAGAAUAGGAUGUCGAUCCUAUUUUGUUGGUUUUCGGGACUCGACAUAAUGAUAAAUAGGGACAGUCGGGGGCAUUUGUAUUCAAAC